rnacentral:rRNA from 1 species
GACGAACGCUGGCGGCGUGCUUAACACAUGCAAGUCGAACGAAGAGCGAUGGAAGCUUGCUUCUAUCAAUCUUAGUGGCGAACGUGUGAGUAACGCGUAAUCAACCUGCCCUUCAGAGGGGGACAACAGUUGGAAACGACUGCUAAUACCGCAUACGAUCUAACCUCGGCAUCGAGGAUGGAUGAAAGGUGGCCUCUAUUUAUAAGCUAUCACUGAAGGAGGGGAUUGCGUCUGAUUAGCUAGUUGGAGGGGUAACGGCCCACCAAGGCGAUGAUCAGUAGCCGGUCUGAGAGGAUGAACGGCCACAUUGGGACUGAGACACGGCCCAGACUCCUACGGGAGGCAGCAGUGGGGAAUCUUCCGCAAUGGACGAAAGUCUGACGGAGCAACGCCGCGUGAGUGAUGACGGCCGUCGGGUUGUAAAGCUCUGUUAAUCGGGACGAAAGGCCUUCUUGCGAAUAGCUAGAAGGAUUGACGGUACCGGAAUAGAAAGCCACGGCUAACUACGUG